UAUAUGCUUUCUUUGUUCACAACAAAUGAUAUUCUCUCUAUACAGGACUUGUUCAGUCCCGAACAUCUGGGUUCUGUUCUCAGGCAAAACAUACCUGCUUUAGAUGUCACCUGACGCUUUGUCGGAGAGAUGAGAGACAUUUCCCUGCCGAUCCGUGUUUGGUCUUUGUUAUUCUGUCACUACACCUUUUCUGCAUUAUGGAUGAGGCACAAGCCGAACAACAAGCUCUCCCUUUGUUCUGCCUGAUGCUCCUGUUACAUCAUAGGAAAAGCCCCAUGGUCCUGUGACUGCGCCGUCACACAGCGCUGCUGGCUCCAGCCAAGAAGAAGCUGUCUGCGACUUCAAGAGGGCAGAACUCCACGUCGGUGUGUAGGGGUGCACCUCAGGCUGGUGAAGGCUGCAGAGGGAAACAAAGCCAGAAAACACUAAAACUGAGACAGAGACACUUAGAGAGAAAAAGUGACUUUAUGGGUUAUAUUUUGGCAUGAUGGACAGUAGAAGAGUCACUGUGUCCAGUUGUGGUU